AACGUAGGUGGCAAGCGUUAUCCGGAAUUACUGGGCGUAAAGGGUGUGCAGGCGGGGGUGCAAGUGGUGUAUGAAAUCUCCCAGCUUAACUGGGAUAGGUUAUGCCAGACUGCAUAUCUAGAGGACGAGAGAGGGGGGUGGAAUUCCGGGUGUAGUGGUGAAAUGCGUAGAGAUCCGGAGGAACCCCAGAGGCGAAGGCGGCCCCCUGGCUCGUACCUGACGCUCAGCCACGAAAGCAUGGGGAGCGAACGGG
rnacentral:rRNA from 1 species